UCAAACGCGGAUGGCUCAGAUGAUACUUUGUCAAACAAAGGUGGUGGCCUGAAUUGUGAACCAUGCUUAAGUGAUGGACGGACACGUACUGUUGAAGGUUUUUGCAUGGAGUGCGAUAAAUAUCUGUGUCAGUCAUGUAUGGAUACCCACAGGAUACUACGUGUGACGAAAUCACAUCAUGUUAAAAGAAGAGAUGACAUACCAAGAAAGAAUCCAAAUAAACUAACUCAAUAUCCCGCUGAAAUCAACUGUCAUGUACACACUGACAAUUAAACAACAUCUUUCUGUCAAUCACACCAGCUAUUAUGGUGUGACCAGUGUGUGAUUCUGGGACAUAAAGUUUGCACUGAUGUAAAGUUAAUCGCCGAUUAUUCCAAAGAAUUCGUGAACAGCGAGGACUAUGAAAUGGCUUUUGAGAAGCUUAAGAGUUUACAAUUAGCAUACACAGGAAAAUGAAAAGGAAGAGGCAAACAUGAAUCUUGAGGAAAUUGACCUUUAUUACCACAACACAAUGGGGACGUUUAAAGCUGAACAAGACAAAAUCAAGACAUCAUAUGUAAGGACGUGAAAGGUCAUGGUACAUAUGAAUGUGUUCUUGGUCAGCUUGGUUCCUGGUUCGAAAGUAUCUAUACGUAUAAAAACAACAAACAUAUAUCCCAAAUUCAGCCUCAUGUUCAUUUUGCAUGGACAUUAAAGUUUCAAAAGACAACAAGAAUUUCAUAGAGGAUGCCGAUGAGAAGUUCCAGCUGAUGUUAAUGAACUUUGAAUAGAGAAAUCAAUCAGAUGUCUCGUAGAAGUCGUUUGAUUAAUCACAAGACCAUGGUUAUUUUAUUGACAUUAUUAACUUUUUUCUGAAUUUUGUCAAUACAUCAUGGCCAUUUUAUUGACAUUAUAAACCUAUUGUUGAUUUUUUAUCAGUAUGUUGAUAAUCCUUUCAAAAGGACUUCAUUUUUCUGUCAAGUUCUUACUGUUUUUAAAAGAGUGAAAGUUUAGACAUUGUCAAACCAUUGGUGUUAAUACUUAUCAUCAUUGCUUUGGUAAAAUGUUACCUCGGUCAUAUUUAAAUUAAAAUUCAAGGUAUUGACAUGAAACUUUGUACACAUGAUACAGAAUAAAACAUGCAGGACUAAAAACCACGGCCCAUUACUCUGGCAUUAAUUAUUGUCAAAUUUUACCCCUUGUUCAACCCUUGUUUAACUAACAAAAAACAGACGAGCGGUGGUAUUUGCUCUACAGCACUUUUGUGUUGUUAUAUGAUGAUGGAUACUUCAAGUAUCUUCAAUUUUGGUUGAGUAUUAACUAAUUUCUUUUUUUAUAGUCAUAGAUUGGAGGUUAAAAUGAAUUAAAAUGGAAGCUCCUUUAUUCUUCUUUUUUAAUACAGUGCAUGUAUAUAAUAAUUAAAAUCUGGAGGUGUUUUUUGAGGUUAUACUAAAGGGUUACAUGAUACAAGAUACCAGAUACAUAAUCUUUAUUUAAAUAAGGGUUGAUGAUAACAAAAUUCAUUAGCUCAAUGAGCUAUUUUUCAGAAAUGAUAUAUUUAACAAAUGCUAAGUUGAUUUUCAAGUACAUUCAUACUAGAAAGACAUAAAGUUCUGAGUGAUAUGGAUAACACAAUAUAGUUUUGUUCAAUUAAAUUUUUAUUUAUA